CGGGGGGUGCGAGCGUUGUCCGGAAUCACUGGGCGUAAAGGGCGCGUAGGUGGUUUGAUAAGGGUGUGGUGAAAGUCCGGGGCUCAACCCCGGAUCUGCCGUGCCGACUGUCAAACUCGAGGGCUGUAGAGGCAGACGGAAUUCCGGGUGUAGCGGUGGAAUGCGUAGAGAUCCGGAGGAAGACCGGUGGCGAAGGCGGUCUGCUGGGCAGUUUCUGACACUGAUGCGCGACAGCGUGGGGAGCAAACAGGAUUAGAUACCCUGGUAGUCCACGCCGUAAACGAUGGGUACUAGGUGCCUGGGGGAGCGACCCUCUGGGUGCCGGCGCUAACGCAGGAAGUACCCCGCCUGGGGAGUACGACCGCAAGGUUG
rnacentral:rRNA from 1 species